GCGAAACCAUCACUCGGACGCGAAAACCGAACCGCCCCAUCACCACCACGCCAACGUGUCGCGUCCCGAGAGGGGAGAUUCGGGUGCCGAAUGGAGUCUGGAAUCCUCGGUGGGCCUCCCCUCUCCCCGUUCAUCUUCCUCGGUCCUCAAGACCGCCAGCCCACUCUAACGGCUUAAGCUUGGGGUUCCGGCGUCCAACGGCGGCGGCGAUGAGAAGGGGGAAGGUCCAGAUUCGGCGAAUCGAGGACAAGGCCAGCCGCCAGGUGACCUUUUCCAAGCGGCGGGGCGGCCUCUUCAAGAAAGCCCGCGAGCUCGCCGUCCUCUGCGACGCGGAGGUCGGCCUGAUCGUCUUCUCCCCCAGCGGCAAGCCCUACGAAUUCUGCAGCUCCUCCAGCAUGGAAGACACAAUCACUCGUUAUGAGCAAAUAUCAGAUGCUGGACAAGAUGUCAGUAAAAAUAUUGACAAAGAACAGAAUCAUGGCAAGGAUUUUGCUUGUCCUACAAUCAACUCCAAGCUAAUGAAGCAAUCUCCAUGGUCUCUUGAAACAGAUAUUGCCGAGUUAGAUGUGAAUGAGCUUGAACAACUAGAGAAGGAACUAAGUGAUGCAUCAAAACAGAUACAAUCAAGAAAGACAAAGUUGAUGAUGGAUACAAUCAAUAAGUUCCAAGAUGAGAAAAGGUUGAUGAUGGAUACAAUCAAUAAGCUCCAAGAUGAGGAGGCUUAAAAACCCACAAUGAAUGUGAAAAAGCAUUAAGGAUGUAGAUUGUUCAUCCAUUUUUGUACUUUUUGAUUUGCUGGCAUCUGUAUAAUUCUAGCCUUUGUAUGAAUUCAAUCACCUACUGACAUGCUUUAAGUCCCAUUCUAUCCCAUACACUGAUGCAAGGAGGUCCCUCUCAACCUUCCCCUUCCCCCCAACCUCAAGAACAUAUCUUUUUGGUGUUUUUGAUUAGCACUUAUUAGUAUCUUUGUUUAGUGCUUCAAACGAUACAGCAAUCAGUAUACUACUACACAGGCAUGUGUGGAUGCUCAGACACCAGAUCCAUUUCAUAUCUUGCACAGUUGGGAAUGACAUAGAAGAGGAACAGGGUAGGGAGAGAGAAGUGAAUGAAACUGGAGGAGGUGCCAAUCCUUCAGAGUCAAGAUUUUCAAUAUUCAAAAUCUUUAAAUCGAUAAUUUCCAGUAUCCUGAAAAUCUCGAGAUUAUGGGAACAGAGUUUUCUGACCCCGCCCGCUCCAUCCUCCCUCAUCCUGUCACCUCAAGGCCCUCCCUGCCAUGUGGGAGGAUAUUGCAUGGACAAGAAAGUAGGCGUCUAUGCAGCCUUGGAGUAUAUAUCCCGGACUGAAUUUUUAUGGGGACAUCCAGAGGAAGACAAUGCUUGAGGAGAAAAGGUUCUUAGAAUCCGUAAGAAAAAAAUGUUGUGGUGAUGGAGCAGAAUGGAGCUGCAGUGGAGCACCACAAGGAUGUUAGCAACAAUAGCGAGGGCGCUUUGUCCCAUGGGGUACACGAAGAUCCAGAGGUGCAACUUGCCAAGUGCCAUGCACCACGUUGCUUAUCAUUAUUUUCCUAGAAAGACUAAGCAGGCAGUUGGAAGGGUUGUAACCAAAGUCGUGCGGGACAGAAGUCUUUAGAAAUUUGUGUGUGGGACUCGGACCGUAUAAUCUCAUGUAUUUGCUGUCAUUUUACAGAUGCAUGACAACACCAAUAAAGAUAUGGUGUGCUGAGCUGUA